UGCUGAGGAGUCCCAUACUAGGACGAAACGGCCGUCCAGUGC
rfam:Schistosoma curassoni strain Dakar, Senegal genome assembly, scaffold: SCTD_scaffold0006072